UGAGGAAUAUUGGUCAAUGGGCGAGAGCCUGAACCAGCCAAGUCGCGUGAGGGAAGAAUGGUCCAUGGCCUGUAAACCUCUUUUGUCAAGGAAGAAUAGACGGCACGCGUGCUGUUUUGCCAGUACUUGACGAAUAAGCACCGGCUAACUACGUGCCAGCAGCCGCGGUAAUACGUAGGGUGCAAGCGUUAUCCGGAAUUAUUGGGCGUAAAGGGCUCGUAGGCGGUUCGUCGCGUCCGGUGUGAAAGUCCAUCGCUUAACGGUGGAUCCGCGCCGGGUACGGGCGGGCUUGAGUGCGGUAGGGGAGACUGGAAUUCCCGGUGUAACGGUGGAAUGUGUAGAUAUCGGGAAGAACACCAAUGGCGAAGGCAGGUCUCUGGGCCGUUACUGACGCUGAGGAGCGAAAGCGUGGGGAGCGAACAGGAUUAGAUACCCUGGUAGUCCACGCCGUAAACGGUGGAUGCUGGAUGUGGGGCCCGUUCCACGGGUUCCGUGUCGGAGCUAACGCGUUAAGCAUCCCGCCUGGGGAGUACGGCCGCAAGGCUAAAACUCAAAGAAAUUGACGGGGGCCCGCACAAGCGGCGGAGCAUGCGGAUUAAUUCGAUGCAACGCGAAGAACCUUACCUGGGCUUGACAUGUUCCCGACGGUCGUAGAGAUACGGCUUCCCUUCGGGGCGGGUUCACAGGUGGUGCAUGGUCGUCGUCAGCUCGUGUCGUGAGAUGUUGGGUUAAGUCCCGCAACGAGCGCAACCCUCGCCCCGUGUUGCCAGCGGAUUAUGCCGGGAACUCACGGGGGACCGCCGGGGUUAACUCGGAGGAAGGUGGGGAUGACGUCAGAUCAUCAUGCCCCUUACGUCCAGGGCUUCACGCAUGCUACAAUGGCCGGUACAACGGGAUGCGACGCGGCGACGCGGAGCGGAUCCCUGAAAACCGGUCUCAGUUCGGAUCGCAGUCUGCAACUCGACUGCGUGAAGGCGGAGUCGCUAGUAAUCGCGAAUCAGCAACGUCGCGGUGAAUGCGUUCCC
rnacentral:rRNA from 1 species